CUGUGACAUCAGAGCAGCAGUUCGGGCUCCGGGCCAGCUCCCACGGUGUUCCACGAGCUUUAGGGCUGCCAGACAUCCGGACGCAGCACUUGGAGAGUUUGGGAAUGCUGGACCACGAGCUGGAUGCUGGAGCCUCUCCCUUGUUCUGUCCCAGCCUGAAGAAUCCCUGAAGUUCUGUGUUCAGUAUCAGGGAUUUCGGGAUGCCAAACACACACAAUUCCUGAUUUUCUGUGCUGCCGGCAGCUCCGGGCCAGCCUCAGUUCCUCCUUCGUUAUCAGGGCGGAGAUCAAAGCGCGUCAUUUAAAGAACAAAUGCAGUAAAUACCUGGAAUUGA